rnacentral:rRNA from 1 species
AGAGUUUGAUCCUGGCUCAGGAUGAACGCUAGCUACAGGCUUAACACAUGCAAGUCGAGGGGAAACGAUGAGAGAGCUUGCUCUCUCAGGCGUCGACCGGCGCACGGGUGAGUAACACGUAUCCAACCUGCCUUUUUCCAGGGAAUAACCUUGCGAAAGUAAGACUAAUGCCCUAUGUGUCCUCCGACGGCAUCAGACGAGGACGAAAGAUUUAUCGGAAGAGGAUGGGGAUGCGCCUGAUUAGGCAGUUGGCGGGGCAACGGCCCACCAAACCGACGAUCAGUAGGGGUUCUGAGAGGAAGGUCCCCCACAUUGGAACUGAGACACGGUCCAAACUCCUACGGGAGGCAGCAGUGAGGAAUAUUGGUCAAUGGACGAGAGUCUGAACCAGCCGAGUAGCGUGCAGGACGACGGCCCUAUGGGUUGUAAACUGCUUUUGUACGGGGAUAAAGUGAGCCACGUGUGGUUUAUUGCAGGUACCGUACGAAUAAGGACCGGCUAAUUCCGUGCCAGCAGCCGCGGUAAUACGGAAGGUCCGGGCGUUAUCCGGAUUCAUUGGGUUUAAAGGGAGCGUAGGCCGCCCCUUA